rnacentral:rRNA from 1 species
UACGUAGGGGGCGAGCGUUGUCCGGAUUUAUUGGGCGUAAAGAGCUCGUAGGCGGUUCGAUAAGUCGGACGUGAAAUCUCCACGCUCAACGUGGAGGGGCCGUUCGAUACUGUCGUGACUUGAGUCCGGAAGGGGCGAGUGGAAUUCCUGGUGUAGCGGUGAAAUGCGCAGAUAUCAGGAGGAACACCAAUGGCGAAGGCAGCUCGCUGGAACGGUACUGACGCUGAGGCGCGAAAGCGUGGGGAGCGAACAGG